rnacentral:rRNA from 1 species
UACGUAGGGGGCAAGCGUUGUCCGGAAUCAUUGGGCGUAAAGAGCGUGUAGGUGGACUGGAAGGUCUGGUGUGAAAGCCCGGGGCUCAACCCCGGAGGGUCACUGGAAACCAACAGUCUUGAGUCCGGAAGAGGAGAGUGGAAUUCCUGGUGUAGCGGUGGAAUGCGCAGAUAUCAGGAGGAACACCGAUGGCGAAGGCAGCUCUCUGGUACGUGACUGACACUGAGACGCGAAAGCGUGGGGAGCGAACAGGAUUAGAUACCCGAUAGUCC